rnacentral:rRNA from 1 species
CCUCAUGGCCCUUAUGACCAGGGCUACACACGUGCUACAAUGGCCGGUACAAAGAGUUGCGAUACCGCGAGGUGGAGCUAAUCUCAUUAAAGCCGGUCUCAGUUCGGAUUGGAGUCUGCAACUCGACUCCAUGAAGUUGGAAUCGCUAGUAAUCGCGGAUCAGCAUGCCGCGGUGAAUACGUUCCCGGGCCUU